GCGCCUGUAGCUCAGCAGGAUAGAGCAACGGACUUCUAAUCCGUGGGUCGAGAGUUCGAAUCCCUCCAGGCGCACCA
rnacentral:tRNA from 1 species